rnacentral:rRNA from 1 species
AACGAACGCUGGCGGCAGGCUUAACACAUGCAAGUCGAGCGCCCCGCAAGGGGAGCGGCAGACGGGUGAGUAACACGUGGGAAUCUACCCAUCCCUACGGAACAACUCCGGGAAACUAGAGCUAAUACCGUAUACGCCCUUUGGGGGAAAGAUUUAUCGGGGAUGGAUGAGCCCGCGUUGGAUUAGCUAGUUGGUGGGGUAAAGGCCUACCAAGGCGACGAUCCAUAGCUGGUCUGAGAGGAUGAUCAGCCACAUUGGGACUGAGACACGGCCCAAACUCCUACGGGAGGCAGCAGUGGGGAAUAUUGGACAAUGGGCGCAAGCCUGAUCCAGCCAUGCCGCGUGAAUGAUGAAGGCCUUAGGGUUGUAAAGUUCUUUCACCGAUGAAGAUAAUGACGGUAGUCGGAGAAGAAGCCCCGGCUAACUUCGUGCCAGCAGCAGCCGCAG